rnacentral:lncRNA from 12 species
CUUUGCCACUUUGCUUUGGUCCUUCAUGCUGUGCUUUUUGACCCUUUUUAUGUCAUGGUGCUUUUCGACCCUUUUUAUGUCAUGAGAAAACGAUGUUUGAUCUGCGCACUGGAGUGAAUAACCGAGGUUGCAGCCCAACUACUGCCAGUUCUGAGGUGUCAAUAUCUGGUGGGAAACAGCUGUGACUUUUUGUCCCUGGAAGACAAGAGAGUUUGCAAGAGUUACUAGGUAUUUCUUGAAAAAAAGUGUACCCUUCAAGAUUAAUUUCAUUUUACCUACAGCACCAACAAGACACUGGAAGUCAGUGAGAUGGCUGCCAACAUCAUAAGGAAUCAUAUCUACUGUGCGAGGAAAGCUGCCUGUGGCACUGAUCUAAAUGAUAAAUGGAGAGAAGUCAAAAGAGACAAGGAAAGGAAUAUGCAGAAGCAAGAGGAUGUUUGGGAAAAGACUGUAAGUCAUGAAUUUGAAGAACACUAGUUCUUAGCUGGAGAGCUAGAAGUACAAGAUGUGAAUGUGGAGCUCCCUGGCCUGGCCCUAAUGAAGCUUGCUGUCUAAAGAAAAUAUAGUUGACCUUUGAAUAAUAUGGGAUUGAGCGGUAUGGGGCCACUUACAUGUGGAUUUUUUUUGCAAUAAAAACAAUACCAUAAAUGAUUUUUUGUUCUGU